rnacentral:rRNA from 1 species
AUUGAACGCUGGCGGCAGGCCUAACACAUGCAAGUCGAACGAGUGGCGGACGGGUGAGUCAUGUCUGGGAAACUGCCCGAUGGCGGGGGAUACCUACUGGAAACGGUAGCUAAUACCGCAUACCCUUGUAUGUGCCCAGAUGGGAUUAGCUAGUAGGGGGGGUAACGGCUCACCUAGGCGACGAUCCCUAGCUGGUCUGAGAGGAUGACCAGCCACACUGGAACUGAGACACGGGCCAGACUCCUACGGGAGGAAGCAGUGGGGAAUAUUGCACAAUGGGCGCAAGCCUGAUGCAGCCAUGCCGCGUGUAUGAAGAAGGCCUUCGGGUUGUAAAGUACUUUCAGCGAGGAGGCGUUACUCGCAGAAGAAGCACCGGCUAACUCCGUGCCAGCAGCCGCGGUAAUAC